GACGAACGCUGGCGGCGUGCUUAACACAUGCAAGUCGAACGGAAAGGCCCUGCUUUUGUGGGGUGCUCGAGUGGCGAACGGGUGAGUAACAAGUGAGUAACCUGCCCUUGACUUUGGGAUAACUUCAGGAAACUGGGGCUGAUACCGGAUAGGAGCUCCUGCUGCAUGGUGGGGGUUGGAAAGUUUCGGCGGUUGGGGAUGGACUCGCGGCUUAUCAGCUUGUUGGUGGGGUAGUGGCUUACCAAGGCUUUGACGGGUAGCCGGCCUGAGAGGGUGACCGGCCACAUUGGGACUGAGAUACGGCCCAGACUCCUACGGGAGGCAGCAGUGGGGAAUAUUGCACAAUGGGCGGAAGCCUGAUGCAGCAACGCCGCGUGCGGGAUGACGGCCUUCGGGUUGUAAACCGCUUUCGCCUGUGACGAAGCGUGAGUGACGGUAAUGGGUAAAGAAGCACCGGCUAACUACGUG
rnacentral:rRNA from 1 species